UGUUAUUAUGUUUCUGUAGCUGGUCGAAAUUUAAUUUUCAUGUCUGUGCUAGCACAGAAAGAUUUUAAAAUUUAUUUCAAUAAAGACUUUUGUUCUAUUUAUUUAUGAAAUAAAUUGGUGCAUGAGGUCUUUUAAUUGACAGUCUUUAUCACUUGCAUGUUGAUACGAAUGUGAACCUGAACGAGCAAAUAAUGAGUACCGUAAAUCAAAAGAGAUCCAGAGAUGAAAUUAACCAAAAAUACUUGUGGCACCAUAGACUAGACC
rnacentral:lncRNA from 1 species